rnacentral:rRNA from 1 species
AUUGAACGCUGGCGGCAGGCCUAACACAUGCAAGUCGAACGAGUGGCGGACGGGUGAGUAAUGUCUGGGAAACUGCCUGAUGGCGGGGGAUAACUACUGGAAACGGUAGCCAAUACCGCAUACCAUCGGAUGUGCCCAGAUGGGAUUAGCUAGGUGGUGGGGUAACGGCUCACCUAGGCGACGAUCCCUCGCUGGUCUGAGAGGAUGACCAGUCACACUGGAACUGAGACACGGUCCAGACUCCUACGGGAGGCAGCAGUGGGGAAGAUUGGACAAUGGGCGAAAGCCUGAGGCAGCCAUGCCGCGUGUAUGAAGAAGGCCUUCGGGUUGUAAAGUACUUUAAGCUGGGAGGCGUUACCCGCAGAAGAAGCACCGGCUAACUCCGUGCCAGCAGCCGCGGUAAUAC